rnacentral:rRNA from 1 species
AGCAGCCGCGGUAAUUCCAGCUCCAAUAGCGUAUAUUAAAGUUGUUGCAGUUAAAAAGCUCGUAGUUGAAUUUCGGGGUCAAUAAGUUGGUCGUGCCAAUGGUAUGUACUGGCUUUAUUGAUUCCUACCUCUUGACGAACUGUGAUGCCAUUAAUUUGGUGUUGCAGGAAAUCAGGACUGUUACCUUGAAAAAAUUAGAGUGUUUAAAGCAGGCUUACGCUUGAAUACAUUAGCAUGGAAUAAUGAAAUAGGACGUUUGAACCUAUUUUGUUGGUUUCUAGGAUCGACGUAAUGAUUAAUAGGGAUAGUUGGGGGCAUUAGUAUUCAAUUGUCAGAGGUGAAAUUCUUGGAUUUAUUGAAGACUAACUACUGCGAAAGCAUUUGCCAAGGAUGUUUUCAUUAAUCAAGAACGAAAGUUAGGGGAUCGAAGACGAUCAGAUACCGUCGUAGUCUUAACC